AAGGCUAAAUACUCCUGACUGACCGAUAGUGAACCAGUACCGUGAGGGAAAGGCGAAAAGAACCCCGGCGAGGGGAGUGAAAAAGAACCUGAAACCGUGUACGUACAAGCAGUGGGAGCACCCUUUGGGGUGUGACUGCGUACCUUUUGUAUAAUGGGUCAGCGACUUAUAUUCUGUAGCAAGGUUAACCGAAUAGGGGAGCCGGAGGGAAACCGAGUCUUAACCGGGCGUUAAGUUGCAGGGUAUAGACCCGAAACCCGGUGAUCUAGCCAUGGGCAGGUUGAAGGUUGGGUAACACUAACUGGAGGACCGAACCGACUAAUGUUGAAAAAUUAGCGGAUGACCUGUGGCUGGGGGUGAAAGGCCAAUCAAACCGGGAGAUAGCUGGUUCUCCCCGAAAGCUAUUUAGGUAGCGCCUCGUGAAUUCAUCUCCGGGGGUAGAGCACUGUUUCGGCUAGGGGGCCAUCCCGGCUUACCAACCCGAUGCAAACUGCGAAUACCGGAGAAUGUUAUCACGGGAGACACACGGCGGGUGCUAACGUCCGUCGUGAAGAGGGAAACAACCCAGACCGCCAGCUAAGGUCCCAAAGUCAUGGUUAAGUGGGAAACGAUGUGGGAAGGCCCAGACAGCCAGGAUGUUGGCUUAGAAGCAGCCAUCAUUUAAAGAAAGCGUAAUAGCUCACUGGUCGAGUCGGCCUGCGCGGAAGAUGUAACGGGGCUAAACCAUG
rnacentral:rRNA from 1 species